AAUUGACGGGACCGCACAAGCGGUGGAUGAUGUGGUUAAUUCGAUGCAACGCGAAAACCUUACCCACCUUUGACAUGUACGGAACCCUUUAGAGAUAGAGGGGUGCUCGAAAGAGAGCCGUAACACAGGUGCUGCAUGGCUGUCGUCAGCUCGUGCCGUGAGAUGUUGGGUUAAGUCCCGCAACGAGCGCAACCCUUGUCAUUAGUUGCUACAUUCAGUUGGGCACUCUAAUGAGACUGCCGGUGACAAGCCGGAGGAAGGUGGGGAUGACGUCAAGUCCUCAUGGCCCUUAUAGGUGGGGCUACACACGUCAUACAAUGGCUGGUACAAAGGGUUGCCAACCCGCGAGGGGGAGCCAAUCCCAUAAAGCCAGUCGUAGUCCGGAUCGUAGUCUGCAACUCGACUACGUGAAGUCGGAAUCGCUAGUAAUCGUGGAUCAGAAUGUCACGGUGAAUACGUUCCCGGGUCUU
rnacentral:rRNA from 1 species